CACAUUACUCUCCUUUGUCAUUCUCUUGUCUUGUGUAAUUUUUGACAACUGGACGGAGAACUGAUAAAGGUGAGUGGUAUG